rnacentral:rRNA from 1 species
GACCUGAGAUCAGGCAAGGACACCCGCUGAACUUAAGCAUAUCAAUAAGCGGAGGAAAAGAAACUAACCAGGAUUCCCCUAGUAGCGGCGAGCGAACCGGGAAGGGCCCAGCUUGUGAAUCUCCGGCUUG